UGGAAGCAAAUCCUAGCCAUUAUAUUAUGGAAAAGUAUUUCAGUGUGCAUCUGAAAUGGAUGGCCUUCCGCUCCAUGAUGUACAGCCCCUUUCCACAGUUUCAGAGAGACAGCCGUGUCUGGAAUCUGUACCUGCAGAUUCCUGCAGCUUCUCAGAGUCCUGUGGACAGCCACCGAGGAGAAAAACUGUGUAGGAAACAUCU